AUAACAAUUAUAAUUGAAAUAAAUAAUAGAACGAUAGCACCUGAAAAGUUGACUAAUUGAGAUGAAUAUGAUAAUUACAUGAUGGUAAUAAAUUUUGUAGAGAAUAAUUUUCUUUGUAGUGAAUAGAGUAAAAAAGUUUUUAGUUGAGAUUACUAUUGAUUUAAUGUCUAUUGGUUAUGAGGUUAUUAUUAGAGUUUAAGGGAAUACUAAAAGUCAAUUCUAAUGUUAAUAAUUUUAAUAGUGUAUUCGUUUUUGGAAAGUGAAAGUAUUUUUUUUUUCUUGCAAAGAUUAACAAAAAGAAAGAAUUAAGUGGGAAAAGUAUUAAUUCUAUCGUAUAUGAAGUAAUGAGGAUUAUCAUAUCUGACAUUUUUAUAAAAAAUAACUAAAUCUUAUUUUAAGGUGAAUAUUAUCAAAUUUAAAGUUUUUAUUAAGAAAAAAAUCUUAAUUUUGAAUAAUAAUGAAUGGAAGUAAUAAUAGGAAGAUAUCUAAAAAUUAGCCUUUUUUUAUAUAUGAAACUUAAAUAAAAUCUUUGAAAUCCUAGAAAAAUUAAGUAUUCAUCAAUGUAUUAAUUAAAACAGUUAAAUACUGGGACCUUUCUAAAAUUUGGAACCCUAUGUCACUAUCUAGUUUGCCUAGUGCUAUAGCUGCCCCUAUGUUCAUUAUUGUUGUGUCCUAAAGCUAUGGAGGUUUGGCAACGCUCAUGCGCCCUCAUGAUUUUGUUGACAAUUGUGUGGGAAAAGGAAGACAACACUCCCUUGUUUCGGAUUAUGAUCAUAGAGAUUUAUUUUUAGAUUGUCAUUACUAUUUUGUCAAACCAUGGGAGUAUUGCUAUGUUUUGCCUGUUAUGAUAUCAUUUGGCAAUGCUCCCAAAUCUUUAUUUGAUGCAUUUGUUGCAUCUGUUGCAAUGGGUGUGAAUUUAAGUUAUUUGCAAUUAGAGCAUCUUUAAAAAAC
rnacentral:lncRNA from 1 species